UCAACUGGUUGUUGGGUGGGUAACCACUUAGUAACGAAGCUAACGCGUGAAGUUGACCGCCUGGGGAGUACGGUCGCAAGAUUAAAACUCAAAGGAAUUGACGGGGACCCGCACAAGCGGUGGAUGAUGUGGUUUAAUUCGAUGCAACGCGAAAAACCUUACCUACACUUGACAUGCCAGAAAUCCCGCAGAGAUGUGGGAGUGCCGCAAGGAAUCUGGGCACAGGUGCUGCAUGGCUGUCGUCAGCUCGUGUCGUGAGAUGUUGGGUUAAGUCCCGCAACGAGCGCAACCCUUGUCACUAGUUGCUACAUUUAGUUGGGCACUCUAGUGAGACUGCCGGUGACAAACCGGAGGAAGGUGGGGAUGACGUCAAGUCCUCAUGGCCCUUAUGUGUAGGGCUACACACGUCAUACAAUGGUCGGUACAGAGGGUUGCCAACCCGCGAGGGGGAGCUAAUCUCACAAAGCCGAUCGUAGUCCGGAUCGCAGUCUGCAACUCGACUGCGUGAAGUCGGAAUCGCUAGUAAUCGUGGAUCAGCAUGUCACGGUGAAUACGUUCCCGGGUCUUGUACACACCGCCCGUCACACCAUGGGAGUGGAAUCCGCCAGAAGUAGGUAGCCUAACCGCAAGGGGGGCGCUUACCACGGUAGGUUUCAUGACUGGGGUGAAGUCGUAACAAGGUAACCGUA
rnacentral:rRNA from 1 species